rnacentral:rRNA from 1 species
AAGCAUGGGUAGCGAACAGGAUUAGAUACCCUGGUAGUCCAUGCCGUAAACGAUGAUUACUAAGUGUUGGAGGGUUUCCGCCCUUCAGUGCUGCAGCUAACGCAUUAAGUAAUCCGCCUGGGGAGUACGACCGCAAGGUUGAAACUCAAAAGAAUUGACGGGGGCCCGCACAAGCGGUGGAGCAUGUGGUUUAAUUCGAAGCUACGCGAAGAACCUUACCAGGUCUUGACAUCUUCUGCCAACCUAAGAGAUUAGGUGUUCCCUUCGGGGACAGAAUGACAGGUGGUGCAUGGUUGUCGUCAGCUCGUGUCGUGAGAUGUUGGGUUAAGUCCCGCAACGAGCGCAACCCUUAUUACUAGUUGCCAGCAUUCAGUUGGGCACUCUAGUGAGACUGCCGGUGACAAACCGGAGGAAGGUGGGGACGACGUCAAAUCAUCAUGCCCCUUAUGACCUGGGCUACACACGUGCUACAAUGGAUGGUACAACGAGUCGCGAAACCGCGAGGUUUAGCUAAUCUCUUAAAACCAUUCUCAGUUCGGACUGUAGGCUGCAACUCGCCUACACGAAGUCGGAAUCGCUAGUAAUCGC